GUGUGUGUGUAGAGAUGAGGGUUGAACAGCUGAGAACAGGGUUUCUGGGCACAAUGUUGGAAUGUAAAUGCAAACAUCUUGCUUUCGACAAAAUAAAAAACAAACUGAGUUUCCACCCAAAUCAUUGCUCCACUAGUCUUAAAUUCUCAAAUUAUAACUUUGGUAUAUUUAUCUGCCUUGAACAAUAUUUAUUGAAUCUGCCUUAAAAACUAAAUUAUUCUUUAAAACUAUAUUUAUUUACCUUAAAAACAAGUGUUACCUUAAAACUGGUCAUUGUUCGUACAAUCCAGACUGUAGAUAUUCGAAUCAGAAUUACAAUAAUCAUUCUAAUUGAUUAGUAUGACUCGGUUUUCCUCAUGACGCUCGUAAUUGUCCCUCCGUCAGUCAAACAUGGCUGCCCCUCAAUCGUCGCACAUUUUUUAUUCCUGGUGCAUUUCCAAACAAUAGAUCCUGGGGAUCUACCCAAUAGUAAGUGCUUUUUAUUCUUUAUGGGGUGUGGUUUUGCUUGGCCGCCGUGCCAUGACGGCAUUUCUAUUUCUCAAUUUGCUCAACGAAGAGGACCACCUGCCUGCGCGUCCGUCCAUUAUAGUUAUAUGCGCGUCCGUUUAAAAAUGUUCCCUUGUUGAGCAACAAGUACCUCUCGAUUUCGCCUGGCCGCCGUGCCAUGGCAUCGCCUUUUCCGCAGCCGCCGUGCCAAUCUGUCCUCUUGUCAUGGCCGCCGUGUCAUGACUUUUUUCUUCUCGGCCGCUGUGCCGAUCUAUCAUCUAUCAUGGCUGCCGUGCAACAAAGCCAUCUGUCCGUUCAAAAUGCGUAUGUCAGAAAAGGCGUAUGUCCGUUAGUCUAUCGACUAAGUCAUAACUUCUAAAACGAACCAAUUUUAUGGUGUAAGAAAUAAAUCUCUCGCAAUGGAAACGGAGCAUUUAGCUUGUUUUUUUUGGCCUCUGCUUGUUGGCCAUACAGCUGCAGGAACGGGUGGAAGCUUUCAGAGAAAUUCGACCUUAUUUAGGGUUUAAAUGAACAUUGAGGAGGAAAUUGACUUGAUUCUAGUGCAUUGGUUGGUUUGGAACUGCUGAGGUAGUGAUCUAGAAGAAUCAGACCAUUGGUCUGGACUGCUGUUGGUUCGUCUGAGAACAGAGCACUGAUUCUGUAAUCUGGUUAGUUUUUGGAAUGUAAAUCAGUUUGUGCUCUGUCUUAGUCGUGGUGCCACAUGGCCUAAGCUUCUCUUUCCACUAUUACCGCCGUGUCUGCCUCUCUUCUCAACAAUUAAGACCAGCAUGGUAGGACAUGUCUCUUUCCGUCCAUCCGUCGUCAACAUAUUCAGGACUUCAUUUCCGAUUUCAUCAUCCUACACAUACAAUUUAUUAUCUGCAUUUCCAUUUUCGUCGAAUUUUAUUUCCUGGCGGAUUUGCAUUUCAAUUUGACGAAUUUUAUUUGCUGGUGGAUCUGCAUUUCAAUUUUUGACGAAUUUUAUUUCCUGGCGGAUCUGCAUUUCCAUUUUCGUCAAAUUUUGAUCCAUCCUCCUUAAUGACAAUGGUGGGGGCCAAGAUGGACCCAGCCCUCCUUGACGACGACGAUGGCAGCCAAGAUGGCCCCUGCCCUCGAUGACUGCGGCGGCCAGGAUGAACCCAGACCUCCUUGACGACAACGGUGGCAGCCAAGAUGGACCCAGCCCUCGAUGAUGGCGGCGGCAAAGAUGGACCCAGACCUCCUUGAUGACGGUGGUGGCAGCAGAGACAGGAUGGAGCCAGCCCUCCUUGAUGGCGACUAAGAUGGACCAGACCCAUCUUCAGCUGGAAUGCUGUGGCCAGACAAUGACUGUGUGCUCCUGGAUGAAGACUAUCAACCAAACUCUCAAUGAAGAAGAUGGCAAAGAUGGACCCAACCCUCCUUGAUGAUACCUCUUUGCCCCAGGAUGUCUUCAGCUGGAAUGCUGUGUCCUGAUGCGUCUGUACCACAGGAUGAAGAAGAUGGACAAAAUCCUCCUCGAUGAUACCUCUUUGUCCCAGGAUGUCUUCAUAUGUCCUUUCAGAUGGAUUAUCCACUUCUAUUUAAACCUUGCAUGUAGUAUACUUAUGCUAAUUGUUUUUCUGUGUCACAUGUUAAACCUGAAGGCUGGAGUGUCCCUGGAUGAACAUGGACUCAGCCCUCCUCGAUGACGAUGCCUCUUUGCUCCAGCGUCUUCAGCUGGAAUGCAGUGGCUUGACCUGAGCGUUACAAGCCUUGUGUACUGCCUACACCUCCAGAUCUCACCUCCGAAUGGAACAUGUCACCCAAAGGAUAUGUUCGACCACCAAUUUUAACAAAGGCUGUACCACCACCAGUGUCUGUAUGUGGUGGGGAGGGGGUUUUGAGUCAGGGUCAGACUUUCAGCUUAAAUGAGAAUUCAAUUUGAAGAGUCGGGUGUUUUAAUCUUUGGGGUUUUUAUGAUGAUCACUGGAGAAAAUCUGUUUCUACGAGAUGUAAGAAUUUAUUGGUUCUUUGAAAGUUGCUGUUGAACAUAGUUAUUUUGAUCAUGUGUUCAGUGUUGGGUUGAUUAUAAUGUGCUGAGAUGGAACAUCCUGUGAGAUUGAAUCCAAAUUACUGUAAAGAGCAUGUAGUGACAUUCAGAAUAUCUCGUAAAGUUUUACAGUAUUUUCUUUCCUUGAUAUUCCUCAAUGGUGAACUGACAAUGUAGCUGUUGGCCAAUUUUAUUGAUUAGUUUGAGUAGUUUCAAUUAAAAUGAGAACAUUGUUAGACUUGAAUUUGAGACUGGUUAAUUGUUUUUUUUCCCCCAAGUAGUUAUUCAGCAUAUAGAUGAUGUCUUAUGAAAAGCAUUCAUAGUCUCUAUUGGCAUCUGACUGUUCUGCUAUCAAAUUGCGACCACAUGAAAUUAUUUCUUAUCUAGUUUUGCCUGCUUCCAUUGUAUCAAAGGUGGAGGUACAUGGGUUGGUUUUUCACCAACCCAAAUUUGAAUCCUAUGCUGCCUUGUCUCAUCUGCCAAGUUUAAUUCCUACUGGAGACUCGAGUUGAACCUUUCUGUGUUCAAUAAAGUUUCGUUGUUGCGCAUCAUAUUGGGAGGCCUCCCAGCAGGGGAAUUUAUCCCACCCCUGCAAAGCGUUAUGACACUAGCCUACGUCUGGCUCAGUCGCUCGUUUUUGCUGCGUAAUCAGUGAUGCAGGGACAUUAUUGGACAGUUUCAUACAUAUAUGGAAUUGUCUUCACUCAGUAUGUAGGGGACAGAAUAGAAGCGCGUUUGGGUUCUUUGGGAGGAAGUAAGCCUGGCAGAGAGACAACUCAUAACUUUGAUAAUGACUUAUCUCAAGUGAACCAGGUUGACUCCAAAUUCUAAAAUGUUCUCCUGAGUUACACAUUAUUUAAACUAAGGCAUCAUACUGUAGGCUGAAUUCUAGCAGUCUUGUUAAAAGGCAUUGUCCUAUAGUAGAAAUGGGAUUGGAUUUGGGCUUUGAUGGGAAGGCUGUAGACUGUUGUUAAAGUGAUUUAUUGUGACAAGUGAGAAGGGGAAGUAUUAAGUACAUUGAUUUCCAUUUUGGUAGCAUGACUUACUUCUUAUUUUUACCUUUUGUAGGGUUGACAAACCUUCUUCACUAAAGUGUUUAAUCUGCUCUUUUUGUUUUGUCUUUAGUUGCAUUUCAACACUAGUGCGUCCCUGUGCCCAAAACAAGGAGCCACCAGCGGAGAUGAUUUUACUGGAUUUUCUGUCUGAACUGCAUUUUGGAUGAUGGGGCCCCAUCGGAACCUGCUACACACGCAUCUUUUCAACUUCAGCUCACUGGUGUCUUUGCUCUCCAGUAAUUGCACCUUUACUAAAUUCAGUCUGACAUUG